AGUGAACGCUGGCGGUAGGCCUAACACAUGCAAGUCGAACGGCAGCACAUUAAUAGCUUUCUCUUACGGGUGGCGAGUGGCGGACGGGUGAGGAAUACAUCGGAAUCUACUUUUUCGUGGUGUAUAACUUAGGGAAACUUACGCUAUUACCUCCUCCGACCUACUGGUGAAAGCAGGGUAUCUUCGUACCUUGCUCUAUUUAAUUAGCCGAUGUCGGAUUAGCUAGUGGGCGGGGGAAAGGCCCACCAAGGCGACGAUCCGUAUCUGGUCUGAGAGGAUGAGCAGCCACACUGGAAUGGAGACAGGGUCCAGACUCAUACGGGAGGCAGAAGUGGGGAAUAUGGGAAAAAGGGAGCAAGCGUGAUCCAGACAUACCGCGUGGGUGAAGAAGGCCUUCGGGUUGGAAAGCCCUUUUGUUGGGAAAGAAAAGCAGCAGGUUAAUACCCCGCUGUUCUGACGGUAGCAAAAGAAUAAGCACCGGCUAACUUCGUG
rnacentral:rRNA from 1 species